UUCAGUCUCUGCUCUGAAAUUUGCCUCCAUACCCUUUCCUGUGAAUAUUUUGGUUCCACUUUUUAAGAAGGAGUGAAGGAUUCUCACUUUGGUCAUCCUUCUUGAGCUUCAUGUAGUCUGUGAAUUGUGUCUUGGACAAUUUGAUGUUUUGGACUAAUAUCCACUUAUCAGUGAAUGCAUACCAUGUGUGUUUUUUCUGUGAUUGGAUUACUUCACUUAGGAUGAGAUUUUCUAGUUCAAUCCAUUUCUAAAUGAAAUUCAUUAAGUGACUAUUUUUGAUAGCUGAGUAGUAACUUCAUCCAUUGUGAAGAUGUACCAUAUUUUCUGUAUGCUUUCCUCUGUUGAAUGGUAUCUGGGUUCUUUCUAGCUUCUGGCUACUAUAAAUAAGGAUGCUGUGAACAUAUUGAAGCACAUGUCUUUGUUGUAUGUUGAAGCAUCUUUUGGGUAUAUGUCUAGGAGAAGUAUAGCUGGGUCCUCAAGUAGUGCAAUGUCCAAUUUUCUGAGGAAUCUCCUGACUGAUGUCCAGAGUGGUUGUAUUAGUUUGCAAUCCCACCAACAAUGGAGGAGGGCUGCUUCUCUUUCUCCAUAGUCUUGUCAGCAUCUGAUGUCAACUGAGUUUUUUAUCUUACCCAUUCUGACUAGUGUGAGGCAGAAUCUCACUUUUGUUUUGAUUUGCAUUUCCCUGAUGACUAAGAAUAUUGAGUAUUUCUUUAGAUAAUUCUCAGCCAUUCAAUAUUCUUCACCUGAGAAUUAUUUGUUUAGCUCUGUACCCCAUUUUUAAUAGGGUUAUUUGGCCCUCUGGAGUCUAACAUCUUGAUUUCUUUGUAUAUUUUGGAUAUUAACCCUCUAUCAAAUGUAGGAUUGGUAUAGAUCUUUUCCCAAACUGUUGGUUGAUGUUUGGUCCUAAUUACAGUUUCCUUUGUCUUACAGAAGCUUUGCAGUUUUAUGAGGUCCCAUUUAAUGAUUCUUGAUCUUACAGCAUAAGCCAUUGGUGUUUUGUUGAGGGAAUUUUCCCCAGUGACCAUGUGAUCAAGACUCUUCCACAAACUUCUUCUAUUAGUUAGAGUGUAUCUGGUUUGAUGUGGAGGUCCUUGAUCCACUUGGACUUAAGCUUUAUACAGUGCAAUAAGAAUUGGUUGAUUUGCAUUUUUCUACAUGCUGUCUGCAAGCUGAACCAGCACAAUUUGUUGAAAAUGCUACCUUUUAUCCAUUGGAUGGUUUUUGUUCCUUUGUCAAAAUUCAAGUGAUCAUAGGUGUGUGGGUUCAUUUCUGGGUCUUCAUUUCUAUUCCACUCAUCUACCUGCCUGUGUCUGUACCAAUACUAUACAGUUUUUAUCAUUAUUGCUCUGUAAUACAUCUUUUGAGGUCACAGAUGAUGAUUCCCCUGAAGUUCUUUUGUUGUUGAAUUUAGUUUUUGAUAUCCUGGUUUGUUGUAUUUUUGUUACUCCAAAUUAAUUUGCGAAUUCUUUUGUCUAACACUAUGAAGAAUUGAGUUGGAAUGUUGAUGGGGAAUGCAUUCAAUCUGUAGAUUGCUUUUUGUAAAACGGCGAAUUUACUAUAUUAAUUCUGCCAAUCCAUGAGCAUGGGAUUUCUUUCCAUCUUCUGAUAUCUUCUUUGAUUUCUUUUUCCAGAUACUUGAAGUACUUGUCAUACAGAUCUUCACUUGCUUGGUUAAAGUCACACCAAGAUAAUAGCUUUUUUAAAAAAAAAACUCAUUUCUUCGAAGUGUGAUUACAAAAUCAUUGUAAACCUACUGCUUACAUCAUUGGACUGUAUUUCAUAAUGAAGUCACUCAACAUGAAGAAUAGACCUGGUGACUCUCCUGGAACUGUUAAGUGUUUUAUGAUGUAAAAGUCUUCUUUUUCUAAUGAUUUGUAAAAAAUAAAACAAAAUGAUGAAGUAAAAUUGAAGUAAAGACAAACAAACAAAAGGACAAAAAACAGGUACACAAAAAGAGAAAAAAUCGGAAAACCUGCAAAGGUCACUGCUUCCUCUUUCCUGCCGGGGCUGUCUAUGACAGGUUGUCCUGGCCCAGAGUGAAGAUGGAAAGAAGGACUAUCUUACAGAGAUGCAAAGAAGAAUCUGCCAAGCAUCCGACUGAACCGCACUGGCAGUUUAUUCCUAUGAUGUCAAACAUAUUUAUCAAACAUACCCCUAAAGCACAAUAUUCUCUUGAGUCAUUUUGAUCUUUAAGGUUUCUAUUGCAAAAAAAAUGCUUUGACUAAAUAUAUUUAUGUCUA